rnacentral:rRNA from 1 species
UACGUAGGGUGCAAGCGUUGUCCGGAAUUAUUGGGCGUAAAGAGCUCGUAGGCGGUCUGUUGCGUCGGCUGUGAAAACCCGGGGCUCAACUCCGGGCCUGCAGCCGAUACGGGCAGACUAGAGUUCGGCAGGGGAGACUGGAAUUCCUGGUGUAGCGGUGAAAUGCGCAGAUAUCAGGAGGAACACCGGUGGCGAAGGCGGGUCUCUGGGCCGAUACUGACGCUGAGGCGCGAAAGCGUGGGGAGCAAACAGG